CCGCGCUAAGACGGGGAGGUAGCGGUGCCCUGUAACCUGCAACCCGCUAUAGCAGGGUCUAAUGCCUUCCCUGAGGCUGUGAGUCUCCCGGGUGGCCUUGGGGGUAAGCGGCGAUGAAGGUCGGGUCCUGCGGAAUAGGACGAUGUGAACCUGGUCAGGCCCUGACGGGAGCAGCCAUAGCAUCUGUUCCUAUCCUCGCGCAGGAUAGCCUGGCCGGAGCUGGCUGCUUUUGAGGAGCCUGGAAGGCGCGGUCGAAGGAAGGUGCGCGG
rnacentral:SRP_RNA from 1 species